rnacentral:rRNA from 1 species
UACGAGGGGGGCGAGCGUUGUUCGGAAUUAUUGGGCGUAAAGAGCGUGUAGGCGGCCUUACAGGUCAGCUGUGAAAACUCGAGGCUCAACCUCGAGACGUCGGUUGAAACCGUAUGGCUAGAGUCCGGAAGGGGAGAGUGGAAUUCCCGGUGUAGCGGUGAAAUUCGCAGAUAUCAGGAAGAACACCCGUGGCGAAGGCGGUUCUCUGGGACGGUACUGACGCUGAGACGCGAAAGCGUGGGGAGCGAACAGG